UACGUAGGGGGCAAGCGUUGUCCGGAAUCAUUGGGCGUAAAGCGCGUGUAGGCGGCUUGGUAAGUCCGCUCUGAAAGCCCGGGGCUCAACCCCGGGAGGCGGGUGGAUACUGUCAAGCUCGAGUCCGGAAGAGGCGAGUGGAAUUCCUGGUGUAGCGGUGAAAUGCGCAGAUAUUCGGAAGAACACCAGUGGCGAAGGCGACUCACUGGACACAUAUUGACGCUGAGGUGCGAAAGCGUGGGGAGCAAACAGG
rnacentral:rRNA from 1 species